rnacentral:rRNA from 1 species
CCUACCGCAUGCACUAUUCGUGAGCAGCGGAGGGAUCAUUACCGAGUUUACAACUCCCAAACCCAUGUGAACAUACCUAUCGUUGCUUCGGCGGGACCGCCCCGGCGCCUUGUGCCCGGAACCAGGCGCCCGCCGGAGACCACAAACUCUUGUAUUUAUACGAAUUAUCUGAGGAUUUAUACAAAUGAAUCAAAACUUUCAACAACGGAUCUCUUGGUUCUGGCAUCGAUGAAGAACGCAGCGAAAUGCGAUAAGUAAUGUGAAUUGCAGAAUUCAGUGAAUCAUCGAAUCUUUGAACGCACAUUGCGCCUGCCAGUAUUCUGGCAGGCAUGCCUGUCCGAGCGUCAUUUCAACCCUCAAGCCCCCGGGCUUGGUGUUGGGGAACGGCCACCGCCGCAACUCGCGGCAGGCCGCCCCCGAAAUACAGUGGCGGUCACGCUGCGGCAUCUCCUGCGUAGUAACACACCUCGCAUCAGAUACGCUACGAGACCACGCCGUAAAACAACCCACUUCUGAAAUGUUGACCUCGGAUCAGGUAGGGAUACCCGCUGAACUUAAGCAUAUCAAUAAGCGGAGGAA